AGCGGCGGUUGGAGCGGCGGCGGCACGGGACCCCACCUGUCAGUGAGAAAGAGAAGAGAUUGAAAGCGUAUUUUCUGAGAAUACGCUUCCCUGCGGAGAAAGCGUACUUCCAGAGAAAAAGAAAAAGAAUAAAAGAAAAAGAUUAUAAAAUACUUUUCAGGAUCCAUAAUUCACCCAUAAUUCCAUUUAAAUCAUUUAAAAUAUCAAAUGGCUUCAGAAAAAUUCCCAAAAUUUCUGUAAAAUAAUAUAUUUCCUUUAGAGUCCAGGAAAAUUAUUCCCACUCAAAAAUAAAUUAUUAAAUAUAGUUUUAAGGUUUUUAAGCUUUAAAUAAAUCCAAAUAAAAUCCUAGGAUGCAUUUUUAAAUUCUAGAAAAUUCUCCAAUCAACUUCUAUCAACCUAACACAUUCCAAAACACCAUUUCAAACACUUUCAACAAUGCAUCAUAACGAACACCAAUAUUUUAAGAUAUGAUCAAGGUGAUAUGCACAAGAAAUGUAAAGGUGCGAACAUCCGAAUUUGAAAAAUUUGGGAUGUUACACGUGUCCUGUCCCCGGGCCCCGUGUACAUCCACGCGGGGCGAGAGCGCAGUUGGAGCGGCACGACUCGCCGGCUGAUGAAGGUUCGUGCCACAUCGACGUCGGUGAGCCCCGCCAGCCGCAAGGCCUUGAUCUCCACGA
rnacentral:lncRNA from 1 species